rnacentral:rRNA from 2 species
UGGAUCCAGACUUUGAUUCUGGCUCAGGAUGAACGCUAGCUACAGGCUUAACACAUGCAAGUCGAGGGGAAACGACAUUGAAAGCUUGCUUUUGAUGGGCGUCGACCGGCGCACGGGUGAGUAACGCGUAUCCAACCUGCCCACCACUUGGGGAUAACCUUGCGAAAGUAAGACUAAUACCCAAUGACGUCUCUAGAAGACAUCUGAAAGAGAUUAAAGAUUUAUCGGUGAUGGAUGGGGAUGCGUCUGAUUAGCUUGUUGGCGGGGUAACGGCCCACCAAGGCUACGAUCAGUAGGGGUUCUGAGAGGAAGGUCCCCCACAUUGGAACUGAGACACGGUCCAAACUCCUACGGGAGGCAGCAGUGAGGAAUAUUGGUCAAUGGACGAGAGUCUGAACCAGCCAAGUAGCGUGCAGGAUGACGGCCCUAUGGGUUGUAAACUGCUUUUAUAAGGGAAUAAAGUGAGUCUCGUGAGACUUUUUGCAUGUACCUUAUGAAUAAGGACCGGCUAAUUCCGUGCCAGCAGCCGCGGUAAUACGGAAGGUCCGGGCGUUAUCCGGAUUUAUUGGGUUUAAAGGGAGCGUAGGCCGGAGAUUAAGCGUGUUGUGAAAUGUAGAUGCUCAACAUCUGCACUGCAGCGCGAACUGGUCUCCUUGAGUACGCACAAAGUGGGCGGAAUUCGUGGUGUAGCGGUGAAAUGCUUAGAUAUCACGAAGAACUCCGAUUGCGAAGGCAGCUCACUGGAGCGCAACUGACGCUGAAGCUCGAAAGUGCGGGUAUCGAACAGGAUUAGAUACCCUGGUAGUCCGCACGGUAAACGAUGGAUGCCCGCUGUUGGUCUGAAUAGGUCAGCGGCCAAGCGAAAGCAUUAAGCAUCCCACCUGGGGAGUACGCCGGCAACGGUGCAACUCAAAGGAAUUGACGGA